UACGUAGGGGGCAAGCGUUGUCCGGAUUUACUGGGCGUAAAGAGCGUGUAGGCGGCCAAGCAGGUCCGUUGUGAAACUAGGAGGCUUAACCUCCAGACGUCGACGGAAACCGACGCGGCUAGAGUCCGGAAGAGGAGGAGUGGAAUUCCUGGUGUAGCGGUGGAAAUGCGCAGAUAUCAGGAAGAACACCAAUGGCGAAGGCAGGGUCU
rnacentral:rRNA from 1 species